UAAGACUACCACCCAGCCACUUUAGACUCCUCAUGCCUCUAAAUCAAGAGAGGAAGAAAAUUACUGUGCUGGCUGCAUGAGUGAUCCAGACUAUCAAGGAGAAAUUGGAUUACUACCACACAAUGAAGAAACUCAGCUAAUUCAUGACCUGUUUUCAAAAAUAUGUGGAGAUACGGCCAGUGCUAACCCAUGGAAAUCGAAAGGGGAAGAAGAGAUUUCACAGACAACAUUGACCUGUAUGCUACUUUGUUCUAAUUCUGGAAAUGGGAAUUACUCCACCCACUGCUGAGAACAUUCUGGUCUCAUGCCUCACCCACUCUCACCAGUCUUCGUGGUUCUUAAAAGCAUCCAGAAGACAGAAGCUGUGCACUACUCGUAGCCAAAAAUUCUCCUGAAGCUAGACGUCACAAACUGGCACCCAUCAAACUGACUCCAGCCCUUACAGCAUCCUAUACCUGGGGAAUUAGCUGCCAAGGUUUAAAAACAGAGAUGUUUCAUUUAAAAAGACAGAUUUUUGCUUUCUAUAUUUGAGAAACCACGAGCCUUGAUUCCCACAUGACAGAACCAGUGGAACUGACCCUUCCGACAGAGCACGCACUCUUCAUUGCAUCACUGUCUACUCCAUCCUGGCUUCAGUCUG
rnacentral:lncRNA from 1 species